AUGUCUGGUCCGGGGCAAAAAACGUUCAAGAUCCUGUGCCGCGCCGACGAGGGGUACUGCGUCACCGUCCGCGGUGGCGAUGAUGGCGAUGCCGCCGUCGUCAUGGCGGCAGCAGACCCCGACGACGAGUACCAGCACUGGUACAAGGACAUGAGGCGCAGCACGAGGGUGAAGGACGAGGAGGGGUACCCGGCGUUCGCGCUCGUCAACAAGGCCACCGGGCUCGCCAUCAAGCACUCGCUCGGCCAGUCCCAUCCCGUCGAUCUGGUGCCGUACGAGUACGACCCAGCGGUAAUGGACCUGUCAGUGCUGUGGACGCAGAGCAGGGACGUGGGCGACGGCUUCCGCUGCAUCCGCAUGGUCAGCAACAUCUACCUCAACUUCGACGCCUUCGAGGGCGAGCCGGAGGUCCGGGACGGCACCGUCGUCGGGCUGUGGGAGUGGAACGAGGGGGGGAACCAGUGCUGGAAGAUCCUGCCGUGGGGCACCCAGGCGGAAGCCGACGGCGACGACGACCAGUACGGCGGGUACCACGGCGGCCAGGACCAGGAGACUACGCGUUUCAGCUACGGCGGAGACGAUGCGGCGCCGCAGGACCAAGGACAGGGGUGCGACGGUGGCCUGCCUCCUGCGCUGUCUUCCGAGUGCACGGUACGCAUGUUCUGCAGCGCCGGCGGAGAGGAGUACAGCGUCGCCGCGAGGGACGGUACCGUGUGCCUGGUUCCUACUGACCCCGGCGACGACUUGCAGCACUGGGUGAAGGACAUGCGGCGCAGCACCAGCAUCAAGGAUGAGGAUGGGUACCCUGCUUUCGCCCUGGUGAACAAGCACACCGGUGAAGCAAUCAAGCAUUCCCUUGGAGAGAGCCACCCUGUUCGGCUUGUGCGCUACGACCCGGACUACCUAGACGAGUCGGUGCUGUGGACAGAGAGCGAGGACGUCGGCGACGGCUUCCGCUGCGUCCGCAUGGUGAACAACAUCCACCUCAACUUUGACGCCCUCGACGCUGGCGAGGGUCAGGGCGGCGUGCACGACGGCACGGCUAUCGUCCUGUGGGAGUGGUGUGAAGGAGAGAACCAACGCUGGAAGAUCCUUCCUUGGUGUGAGUAA
rnacentral:rRNA from 1 species